rnacentral:rRNA from 1 species
CCUACGGGGGGCAGCAGUGGGGAAUAGUGCGCAAUGGGGGCAACCCUGACGCAGCAACGCCGCGUGAUUGAAGAAGGCCUUCGGGUGGUAAAGAUCUUUAAUUGGGGACGAAACAAAUGACGGGACCCAAAGAAUAAGCGACGGCUAACUACGUGCCAGCAGCCGCGGUAAUACGUAGGGAGCAAGCGUUAGCCGGAUUUACUGGGUGUAAAGGGCGAGUAGGCGGGCUGGCAAGGUUGGAGGGAAAUCCCGGGGCUUAACCCCGGAACUGCUUUCCAAACUGCUGGUCUUGUGUGAUGGAGAGGCAGGCGGCAUUCCGUGUGUAGCGGUGAAAUGCGUAGAUCUCCGGCGGAACACCAGUGGCGCAGGCGGCCUGCUGGACAUUAACUGACGCUGAGGUGCGAACGCGUGGGGAGCAAACAGGAUUAGAUACCCGAGUAGUC